rnacentral:rRNA from 1 species
AUGAACGCUGGCGGCGUGGUUAAGGCAUGCAAGUCGAACGAUUUCCGUUAGCAAUAAUGGAAGUAGCGGCAGACGGGAGAGUAACACGUGGGAACGUACCUUUCAGUUCGGGACAACCAAGGGAAACUUUGGCUAAUACCGGAUACGCCCGUAAGGGGAAAGAUUCAUCGCUGAAAGAUCGGCCCGCGUCUGAUUAGCUAGUUGGUGGGGUAAUGGCCCACCAAGGCGACGAUCAGUAGCUGGUCUGAGAGGAUGAUCAGCCUCACUGGGACUGAGACACGGCCCAGACUCCUACGGGAGGCAGCAGUGGGGAAUAUUGGACAAUGGGCGCAAGCCUGAUCCAGCCAUGCCGCGUGGAUGAUGAAGGCCUUAGGGUUGUAAAGUCCUUUUAACGGGGAAGAUAAUGACGGUACCCGUAGAAUAAGCCCCGGCUAACUUCGU